CAGGUGACAUGUCUGAGAGCAAAGCCAAGAAGAUUGAAAUCAAGGACGUGGACGGACAGACCCUCAGCAAGCUCAUCGACUACAUCUACACCGCGGAGAUAGAGGUGACGGAGGAGAACGUGCAGGUCCUGCUUCCAGCAGCCAGCUUGCUGCAGCUCAUGGACGUGCGUCAGAACUGCUGUGACUUUCUGCAGUCUCAGUUGCAUCCCACCAACUGCCUGGGGAUCCGUGCCUUUGCAGACGUGCACACCUGCACCGAUCUCCUGCAGCAGGCUAACGCCUACGCAGAGCAGCACUUCCCAGAGGUGAUGCUGGGGGAAGAGUUUCUGAGCUUAAGUCUGGACCAGGUGUGCAGCUUGAUAUCCAGUGACAAGCUGACUGUCUCCUCAGAAGAGAAGGUACUGUGUAGCCCCUGGGAAAACACGAACCUUUCUUAAACAAGCAAACAAACAAAAAACCCCUUUAACUGGAAAAAGAAAAAAAGAAAAAA
rnacentral:lncRNA from 1 species